rnacentral:misc_RNA from 1 species
AUAAUUUAUCCCAGGUUCUCCCCCAUGUUCGUGUUUUUUUCUCUCUGUUUGUUUUACCCAGUCAGAUCAUACUCAGGAUCCAGGAGCCCUCCCAAUCAGUACACAAUCAGCACACGUCGUAGUAAGUGAUAUUUCACGCAAUCAGCCUAAACAAACCGCUCAACUAGAAUUAGAAUAAUUCUGUCCGCAUGUUAUAUUCAGGUUUAGUAGUAUUAAUUAGAAUUAAAGUAGAAUA